UGCUGCUUCUGCCCAGGCCUUGGGAGGCUUUCAAGUCGCUCCAGAUAGCACAGAUUUGGAUUAGAAAACCUGAACCCAUUGGCGGGAGCUCUGAAUUUUCCUGUGACCUCAAGAGGGCAAGCAGCCGCUGUAACCUCACCUUUGCCUCCAGAUGGCAUUGUUGCCACAUCAUCGUUUCCUGAAUGAGCCAGAGCACAAAGGCGCUGUGCUAAGGAGGCAAGCCUGUCUGUCUUGCUUUACUUCCCCGUGCACAGUACACCUCCAAAC